CUCUCUAAAAAUACUGUUCACUGUCUUUCUGAAAUUCAACCUGCUUCCUUUCUCCCUCAGAAUUUUCUCGCUCCUCAAAAAAACUGCCAUUAAAGCUUCAAAAAACGACGAUGAAGCUUCAAAUCACUCGAUUUAGUUAUUAGUUCUUGCCGAAUUCUUUUUAUAUUUCGUCUUUUCUUCUACAAAUUUGGCCUACUUUAACCUAACUUUCUGUAUUUGUUUAAGAUUGGAGAUGAAGGAAGCAGAAAAUCCAAAAAAAUAAAUCGAAAAAACCUACAAUCGAAGAAGGAAAAAUAUGAAAAGAGAAGAUGAAAUUGUGAAAAAAAAAACAGAAGAAAAACACAGCUCAAAUUCAGAAGAUCGAAAAGAAUCAGAAAAUUCGAAUGUCGGAAAUGAGAUGACGCCCAAACAUCAGAGCCACAACGCACAAGUAAUCCUAUUGUCAAACAAGCACUUGUGAAGGACGUCCCUGUAAACGUUUGUUUGAGCAAAUGAAGAGAUCCAAGGUUGAGUAUUGUGGCAUGAUAUUAGCGCACAAGGGAAAUGAUGAAAAUCAUGUUAUGAUUUCAAAGCCAACGAAAUGGGAAAUAGAGAAUCAAAUUUGAAGUUAUCAUAGUCCUUGUAGCAUCAAAUGUUGAAUUUCAUGUAAAUACUUUGUGUUUAAUUUCUAGAAUUUGUAAACUGACAAUUUCGAUCUCGGAUGGUUUUGAUUAACUUAUAAUAGAUUUAUUUGCUUGAAG